rnacentral:rRNA from 1 species
UACGAGGGGGGCAAGCGUUGUUCGGAAUUAUUGGGCGUAAAGGGCGCGUAGGCGGUGCGGUAAGUCACCUGUGAAACCUCUAGGCUCAACCUAGAGCCUGCAGGCGAAACUGCCGUGCUUGAGGGUGGGAGAGGUGCGUGGAAUUCCCGGUGUAGCGGUGAAAUGCGUAGAUAUCGGGAGGAGCACCUGUGGCGAAAGCGGCGCACUGGACCACAUCUGACGCUGAGGCGCGAAAGCUAGGGGAGCAAACAGG